rnacentral:lncRNA from 12 species
AAAACAGCCCAAAGAGCGUAAUGCGGAUGAAACAGGUGAAGAGACACACUGUUCAAGAAGACCAAUGAAAUACAAACCAUGGAAAGCUCUGACAAACCAGGUGGAAAACUGUCCCGAUAACCAGGGUGAACUUGACUCUUCCCUGUUGCGGCCAAAGAACAUUCAUUCUGUGGAGAUAAGAAGCAACCCAUCUGCAUCCUUUCGAUGGAAGCAGGAAGCACACACAGCCCGGAAUACGAGGAGGAGGCCCCCACGGACAACUGGAGAAGGAGCAAAGCAACCAAGUGGUUCUUGAAGGGGAAUGGCUUAUGCCAUGAGGACCAAAAGGCUUCUGCCCAGAUGACUGCGAAUUUAUAAAAGUGGUUAGAAAUAAGGACUGGACAACUGGGGGUUUUUUCCUCCUGUUUUCUGUACCCAGAAUCUACACAAACAUCAAACCUAUUGGCUCUGGACAUUUUAGACGACGGGAGUACUAGAAGAACGACACUGUACUACUAAGGUGAGCAGCUGAACGCUCAACAGCAGUAUGGUCAUUUCAUAUCCAGGGGUUCAAAGAAUCUGGGGUUCAAUCAUUUUCCUUAACUGAUAAGCCAUGUUAUCCCAGAUCAAUGAUUUUUACCUCUUAGGCUUUACUUUUCUCAGCACAAUGGGAACAUUCACUUGGGAAACACUCCACUUGAGUUGUCCUUAGGAUUGCAUAAUAAUAAUUUAUUUGUGUGCACUUACUAUAUGCCCAGUGUAUACUAAAUGCUUUAUAUACAUAUUACCUCAUUUAAUUCACACAACCCCCUCUCAGAAGUAGGACUGCUAUUACCUCAGUUUUACAGAUGGGUAAGGUGAGGCACUGAGAGGUUAAGUAACAUGCCCAAAGUUAAAGCUGGUCAAUGUUGGAGCCUGAAUUCGAACUCAGGCAGACUUAUUCCAGAGCUUGUUCAUUUCUUAGUGGGCUACCAAAAAACUGAACAACGAUGACAAAAAGAGCAGACCCCCAACCCCCCAAAACCCAAACCAACAACCAAAAACAAAAAACAAAUCCUGGAAUAUCACUCAGCCAUUAGAAACGACAAAUACCCACCAUUUGCUUCGAUGUGGUUGGAACUGGAGGGUAUUAUGCUGAGUGAAGUAAGUCAAUCGGAGAAGGACAAACAUUAUAUGGUCUCAUUCAUUUGGGGAAUAUAAAAAUUAGUGAAAGGGAAUAAAGGGGAAAGGAGAGAAAAUGAGUGAAAAUAU